UACGUAGGGGGCAAGCGUUGUCCGGAAUCAUUGGGCGUAAAGAGCGUGUAGGCGGCCAGAUAAGUCCGCUGUGAAAUCUCGAGGCUCAACUUCGAGCUGUCGGUGGAAACUGUCUGGCUAGAGUCCGGAAGAGGAGAAUGGAAUUCCUGGUGUAGCGGUGAAAUGCGCAGAUAUCAGGAAGAACACCCGUGGCGAAGGCGGUUCUCUGGGACGGUACUGACGCUCAGGUGCGAAAGCGUGGGGAGCAAACAGG
rnacentral:rRNA from 1 species